rnacentral:miRNA from 1 species
CGAACGUUGACCGAAUGUGAAUGAAACAUGUAACCAUCAUAUUUCAUACAUAUUCGAUCAAUAUUCGAGGGAUAAACUAGGAAAUAUUCGAUGAGCUCUGCAUCAAGCCAGCCAAUCAAUG